GAAACGCAUAGGCAACGGACCGGAAGGAAUGGUGUGGUGCCUUCUUCCGCUGCAGUCAGCAAGGUCGGUCUAGUGCCCCCUACUGCAAAGCUUCGGUGCAGCGCAGGACUUCUGCUCCAGCAUAGCAACAAGCUGGAGCUAGAAGGCAGUGUGUUCCCUGAGAUAACAAGUCGGUAACUAGUCCAAUAACAAACAUUUGGGCUGGGACGAUAGCUCAGCGGCCCAGUGCCUGCCUGGAGGCGCCCAGCUCGGCAGCAGGCUCUGAUGGGUUCUCCAGUGAGGCUGAUCCACUCUUGGGAAGUGAGAUGGACCAACUGGGUGAUGCCCUCUAGUCAGAAAGAAUUGCUUUCAUGGAGUCCGGUGCAGCUCAAAGUAACCCUGCCUCCAAACUGUUCCCCUCUGUAUUUGCUUGCAUCUGGACCCUGGGCCGCAUCUGCAGCAAGAGGAGGUGAGGCAGGUUGUCUACAAAGUCUGGGGACUAAAUAAAAAGUGGAUGAAGACCAGAAGUCAUUCUCCAGACAGCUAAUAAAGCAUCGGUGCUUUUACAUUUGUGAGGCAUACAUCCUGUGACCUUUGAAAAUACCCAACUUUGCAAAUUCAAUUGUAAUAUGUAGUUGUCCCCUAAAAUGCAAUAAAGUAUAACUGAAUAUGUAACUGACCUCUUCACAUCAUUAAUGCUUUUAUGCAAAAGGAAUAAAGUAAUUUAGAAAGCUGUGAAAAUACCACCAUUGCUGAAACAUUCACAAAUCACUUUCACAGGUUUCUGCGCGUAUCCCGCCCUGUAACUGCCCGCGCUGUAUAUUAGAGUACCUGCCAAGCUUUCUAAUCCUUAUUCUAUCUGUACUAGCAUAUCAUAAAGUCACAGAAGGAUGUCAUUACUUCAGAAUAACAAGUCCGAU
rnacentral:lncRNA from 1 species